AUAAGAGACAAGUGUGCGGAUUGUCAAUGUGAGCCCUUGAUAACUUUUAAUCUAAUGGUCACAUUUAGUCCACAUAUGUAUUUCUUCCUCUGUCCAAUCCCACUUUUCUCUCCUCUGUCCCACCACGUUUCUUCUCUGCUCUCUUCACCUUCUUCCAUGCGAAUCUUCUUUCUCUCUACACCAUUCCUAUUUCCUACAGUCUAAAACAUAAAUCUUUGGGACUUCGUUGUUCCAAAGCAGUUCUUUUGUUUCUUUAAAGUUUGUCUUCUUUGUAAAAAAUCGGAUCUCUCUCUCAUCAACCUUUCUAAUCUUCCACCUUUUGAAUCCAGCUGUGCAUCUCCUUGCCAUCGUCUCUAGAUCCAGUUUAACGAAGAACCCGAGCGACUUCGCGUUGACAAGGAGCUUGGUAACCACCUAAUCUAUCACCCCAACCCCACAGAGAUACUUCUCCAUCUGCAUCUCCUAGGCUCCUAGCAGCAACGAGGAGAUAAACUAGAUGAUUUUCACGAUCUUUUGUCUGUGUUAGUUUGAAAUUUUAUGUCAUUAGCUUUCAUUUAUCAGGUUUAAUUUUUUUUGUUUGCUAAGAAAUGACUUUCUAGCAUUUCUAUAAUGUUAUGAGAAUGUAAGAUUUCUUUAUGAGAUAAAUCUAAUGUUUUUAAUUAAUUUAUAUAGUUUUGAAUUCAAAACAAAAUAAAUCACUUUGACGAUAGCAACAACAAAUUUGUUGCUAAAUGUGAUACAAUAUUACCCACAAAACGUGUUGUUGCUAACUGGAGACCAAAGUUUAGAUGCAAAAUUUUGUAGCCAAAUU
rnacentral:lncRNA from 1 species